CAAUUCAUUUCAACUACCAUGGGGCAUCUAUUUUUGUGUCUAGUGAUGUACUGAGAGAUACAGAAUUUUAAGAGAAGAAUUUCAAGAUUUGAUGUCUGUCUUCAAGGAGUUUACAAUGUGUUUGGGAGACAAGACUUAUAGAUGUGAAACAACUAGGGAUCAAGCUUAAGGAAAGUAAGAAGCAGAAGGACUUCUCCCCUGUCUCAUCAUGCCAUAGAGGUGACCUUCCAUUGUAUGUAAAGGUCUGUGCUAGAAACACAAGCUCCAACAAAUCCUAUUCAUCUGGAAAGACAUCAGGUUCCAAAUAA
rnacentral:lncRNA from 1 species